rnacentral:rRNA from 1 species
AGAGUUUGAUCAUGGCUCAGGACGAACGCUGGCGGCGUUAACACAUGCAAGUCUACGAGAACAAGGUAGCAAUAUCUUUAUUAAAGUGGCGCACGGGUGAGUAACACGUAAGUAACCUACCUUUAGAUUUGAAAUAACCCCGAGAAAUCGGGGCUAAUACCGAAUGAUGCAGCAGCACCUCAUGAUGAUGUUGUUAAAGUCUAUAUGACGUCUAAAGAUGGGCUUGCAUCUGAUUAGCUAGUUGGUGAGGUAACGGCCCACCAAGGCUACGAUCAGUAGCUGGUCUGAGAAAAUGAUCAGCCACACUGGAACUGAGACACAGUCCAGACUCCUACAAAAAACAGCAGUGAGGAAUAUUGGGCAAUGCCCGAAAGGGUGACCCAGCAACGCCGCGUGGAGGAUGAAUGUCGUAAGAUUGUAAACUCCUGUUAGAGGGGAAGAAUAAUCCCGAUCAAAUCGGGACUUGACUGUACCCUCAGAGAAAGCCCCGGCUAACUACGUGCCAGCAGCCGCGGUAAUACGUAAGGGGCAAGCGUUGUCCGGAUUUACUGGGUGUAAAGGGCGCGCAGGCGGGUUAGCAAGUCAGAGGUGAAAUCCUACAGCUUAACUGUAGAACUGCCUUUGAGACUGCUAAUCUUGAAUAUGGAAGAGAGAGAUGGAAUUCCAGGUGUAGUGGUGAAAUACGUAGAUAUCUGGAAGAACACCAGUGGCAAAGGCGGUCUCUUGGUCCAAUAUUGACGCUGAGGCACGAAAGCGUGGGGAGCAAACAGGAUUAGAUACCCUAGUAGUCC